UGGGGAAUCUUGCACAAUGGGGGCAACCCUGAUGCAGCGACGCCGCGUGAGCGAUGAAGCCCUUCGGGGCGUAAAGCUCUUUCGACCGGAACGAUAAUGACGGUACCGGGAGAAGAAGCUGCGGCUAACUACGUGCGAGCAGCCGCGGUAAUACGUAGGCAGCAAGCGUUGUUCGGAGUUAUUGGGCGUAAAGAGUGCGUAGGCGGUUUUCUAAGUUCGGUGUGAAAUCUCCCGGCUUAACUGGGAGGGUGCGCCGAAGACUGGGAAGCUGGAGUGUGGGAAAGGCAGGCGGAAUUCCUGGUGUAGCGGUGAAAUGCGUAGAUAUCAGGAGGAACACCGGCGGUGUAGACGGCUUGCUAGACCAUAACUGACGCUGAGGCACGAAAGCGUGGGUAGCAAACA
rnacentral:rRNA from 1 species